ACGGAGGGGGCUAGCGUUGUUCGGAAUUACUGGGCGUAAAGCGCACGUAGGCGGCUUUGUAAGUUAGAGGUGAAAGCCCAGGGCUUAACCCUGGAAUUGCCUUUAAGACUGCAUCGCUAGAAUCGUGGAGAGGUGAGUGGAAUUCCGAGUGUAGAGGUGAAAUUCGUAGAUAUUCGGAAGAACACCAGUGGCGAAGGCGACUCGCUGGACCGGUUCUGACGCUGAUGCGCGAAAGCGUGGGGAGCAAACGGGA
rnacentral:rRNA from 1 species